CCUACGGGUGGCAGCAGUGAGGAAUAUUGGUCAAUGGGCGCGAGCCUGAACCAGCCAAGUAGCGUGAAGGAUGACUGCCCUACGGGUUGUAAACUUCUUUUAUAAAGGAAUAAAGUGAGGCACGUGUGCCUUUUUGUAUGUACUUUAUGAAUAAGGAUCGGCUAACUCCGUGCCAGCAGCCGCGGUAAUACGGAGGAUCCGAGCGUUAUCCGGAUUUAUUGGGUUUAAAGGGAGCGUAGAUGGGUUGUUAAGUCAGUUGUGAAAGUUUGCGGCUCAACCGUAAAAUUGCAAUUGAUACUGGCAGCCUUGAGUACAGUUGAGGUAGGCGGAAUUCGUGGUGUAGCGGUGAAAUGCUUAGAUAUCAAGAGGAAUACUCAUUGCGAAGGCAGCUUACUAAACUGCCACUGACAUUGAUGCUCGAAAGUGUGGGUAUCAAACAGGAUUAGAUACCCUAGUAGUC
rnacentral:rRNA from 1 species